UCGGAGGUCCGUGCGUCUCGGUGGUUGCUGGUCCUCUGGGGCUGUGCCUGAACGCGCGCCCGGACUGACUCGUCCCUAGGAGGCUCGCAGCAGUCAGGCCUUUAGGAGCCUCCGUGCCAUUGCACCUGCUUUUUCUCGAAGAUUUUUGAAGAAAAAUUAAGAACAUUAGUCUGAAAACUACAAAGGAAACCAACCUCAUGUUCCUGGCCGAGAGAUCAGAAUAUAACCAAGGGAUUGCUAGGGAAAUGGCAUUGUCAAACAGAAGACCGAUUUCAGGGAUGGAGGAAAAGUGGGCAGACUAGAACUAGGCUGUCACCAUAUCCCUGCAAGAAACUCUCAAGAUACCUUUUGGAGAGAAAUGUGAAUAAUUGGUUCCCGAGGGGAGAGAGGAGGACAAGAUUAGGAAGAGCCACAUGGUUGAGGGGGCAGGACUUCAAAGAUUCUUAAUAUUCUAACAUAUUUCAUUAAUGAAGACAAGUCAAUUUUCUUCACUUAACAUCUCUGAAAUAAGGAUGUGCCUUACAAGUUAUACCACCUUAGAAUUAUUCCUAGCAUCCUUUUUUCUCUUUCAGUGGUAAAUAAAAUAAAGGUGUAACUUACAAACAA